rnacentral:rRNA from 1 species
GGAGGAAAAGAAACCAACAGGGAUUGCCUCAGUAACGGCGAGUGAAGCGGCAAAAGCUCAAAUUUGGAAUCUGGCACUUUCAGUGUCCGAGUUGUAAUUUGAAGACCGGUGCUUUGGGAGCAGGAGGUGUCGAAGUUCCUUGGAACAGGACGUCGCAGAGGGUGAGAAUCCCGUGCGAUACCUCUUCUUGCUUCUUUGUAAAGCCUGGUCGAAGAGUCGAGUUGUUUGGGAAUGCAGCUCUAAGUGGGUGGUAAAUUCCAUCUAAAGCUAAAUACUGGCGAGAGACCGAUAGCGAACAAGUACAGUGAUGGAAAGAUGAAAAGAACUUUGAAAAGAGAGUGAAAAAGUACGUGAAAUUGUUGAAAGGGAAGGGCUUGAGAUCAGACUUGGUUACCUCGGUGACCAGGCCAGCAUCAGGUGGCGGGGUGACAUAACGCGGAAGGAAUGUGGCUUUGCUUCGGUGAAGUGUUAUA